rnacentral:rRNA from 1 species
GACGAACGCUGGCGGCGUGCCUAAUACAUGCAAGUAGAACGCACAGUUUAUACCGUAGCUUGCUACACCAUAGACUGUGAGUUGCGAACGGGUGAGUAACGCGUAGGUAACCUGCCUGGUAGCGGGGGAUAACUAUUGGAAACGAUAGCUAAUACCGCAUAAUAUUAAUUAUUGCAUGAUAAUUAAUUGAAAGGUGCAAUUGCACCACUACCAGAUGGACCUGCGUUGUAUUAGCUAGUAGGUGAGGUAACGGCUCACCUAGGCGACGAUACAUAGCCGACCUGAGAGGGUGGUCGGCCACCCUGGGACUGGGACACGGCCCAGACUUCUACGGGGGGCAGCAGUAGGGAAUCUUCGGCCAUGGACGAAAGUCUGACCGAGCAACGCCGCGUGAGUGAAGAAGGUUUUCGGAUCGUAAAGCUCUGUUGUAAGAGAAGAACGGGUGUGAGAGUGGAAAGUUCACACUGUGACGGUAUCUUACCAGAAAGGGACGGCUAACUACGUG